rnacentral:rRNA from 1 species
GAAGGGGGCGAGCGUUGUUCGGAUUUACUGGGCGUAAAGGGCGCGCAGGCGGCGACCCAAGUCAGGCGUGAAAGCCCCGGGCUUAACCUGGGAGGUGCGUCUGGGACUGGGUGGCUAGAGAUCGGGAGAGGAGAGUGGAAUUCCCAGUGUAGAGGUGAAAUUCGUAGAUAUUGGGAAGAACACCGGUGGCGAAGGCGGCUCUCUGGACCGAUACUGACGCUGAGGCGCGAAAGCGUGGGGAGCAAACAGGAUUAGAUACCCUGGUAGUCCACGCUGUAAACGAUGUGUGCUAGACGUUGGGGAGCCUAGCUCUUCGGUGUCGCAGCUAACGCGGUAAGCACACCGCCUGGGGGGUACGGCCGCAAGGUUA